AUCAGUUUCCACAACUCCUCGAAAACGCCCUGCGGCGCCGGCGAUUCACAGUGAAGCAUAUGGGCAACCCUCUCUUCUUCUUUCAGUUCCUCUUUUUCCUCUCUCGUCGUCUGCUGCUGCAGCAUCUGCACGGCUAUUGAGACUCCUCGAUCAUCCCGCUUUCCAUUGCUUCCCUGAUGCCGUCGUCACCCACUGCGGCGCCAGGCACUUCGCUGGCAGGCGGAGGUAAGAGGCGCAAGGGGCGACCGAAGGGAUCCCUUGGAAAGAAGAGGCAUAAGAGACUUGAUUCCAUCGUAGACAGUCCUGGCCUUAUUCCCCCUCGCCCAGGGUCGCCCGUGGAAGAAGGCGAUGGAAUCCGCCGCAGUUCUCGCGUCCGGCGUGCACCUAUCAUUCUCGAUGCUUCUCCUCCUCUCCGUCGCUGGAGUAAAAAGCAGGGUCUGCAUGAUUCGACCAGAUCUGGUGUUGGUAGAGGUCGAAGGAAGAGGUGGGGAAGAGGUGGUGAUCAGGAUGGUCGGAAAGAACCUCAGUCGGUUUCGGCUUCAUCAAAAAACGCACCUCCUCUUCUUGACGAAGAAAAGACUUCAGAGGAGCAAGUAGAGGACUGGAAAUCACGACUUCGAUCUAGGGUUGGGAAACGAAAAAGAGGUUCAGGUUAUUUUCGGGAUGAUUCUAUGAGAAAAGAAAAGGAAUCAGUGAAGCAGGUAUCGACUGAGAGUGGAUUUGAUUCACAGGAAAGACGAUCUAGUAGGGGGAAGAGAAGAAAGGUUUUGAGCGAUGAUGAAGAUGUGAUUGGUGAAGAAACUAGGUGUGAAGAUGAGAGUUUGCCUUCCAAUGAUGAAGGGGAUAAUGGUGAGAAAGCCAACCAGGAAGACGACACCAAAACUGUCACAGAUUCACAAUCACUCAUCAAUCCAAACAAUGAAAUUGAGAUUUGUUUGUCAUCUGAGGCAGUUAAAGAGAACACGGAGUACAUAAAUGUUGAUGAGGAAGUAUAUGUUCAACAGCCUGAACAAAGAAGGGUAAGCCCAGAUCAGCAACCAGUGGAGGUUAGACCUGAAAAUCAGGAAACCAUCACUCUGGGUGAACAUAUGAAUGGCAAGACUAUCAAGACUAAGAGCAUCGUAGAGGAAGCUAGUUUUAGGGCAUCCGUCACCGAAGAAAAUCAGGUAAGGAAGCACAUAAAGGAGGGUAGAAGGUGUGGGUUGUGUGGGGGUGGUACUGAUGGGAAGCCACCAAAAAGACUUGUUCAAGAAUCUUCUGGUAGUGAUAAUGAGGCCUAUGCAGGAUCUUCAGCUUCAGAUGAUCCAAACUAUGACAUUUGGGAUGGGUUUGGAGAUGAACCAGAAUGGCUUGGCAGGAUUUUAGGCCCCAUCAAUGAUCGUUUUGGCAUUCCCCGCAUUUGGGUUCAUCAACAUUGUGCAGUUUGGAGUCCAGAGGUUUAUUUUGCUGGCUUGGGCUGCCUGAAGAAUGUUAGGGCGGCCCUUUACAGGGGAAGAGCACUGAAAUGCAGUCGUUGUGGGAGACCUGGUGCAACCAUUGGUUGUCGUGUUGACCGAUGCCCUAAAACUUAUCAUCUGCCUUGCAGCCGUGCUGAAGGUUGUAUAUUUGAUCAUCGCAAAUUUCUCAUAGCAUGCCCUGAUCAUAGGCAUCUCUUCCAACCUCGUGGCACUGAGCGUGCUCAGCAAAUUAGGAAAAUAAAAUUGAGGAAGUUGAAGUUAGAUAUGAGAAGGCGUGCACAUGAUGCAUGCAGAAAGGACUUGGAGGCUGAAGAGAAAUGGUUAGAAAAUUGUGGAGAGGAUGAGGAGUUCUUGAAACGCGAAGGCAGGAGGCUUCAUCGAGAUGUCUUAAGAAUUGCACCUGUAUACAUUGGGGGUUCUUCUGAGGAUGAAAAGUUGUUCCAAGGUUGGGAAUCUGUUGCCGGCCUGCAAGAUGUCAUCAACUGCAUGAAAGAAGUAGUUAUAUUACCUCUUCUCUAUCCUGAAAUGUUCAGUAGUUUAGGCCUUACACCUCCUAGGGGUGUUCUAUUGCAUGGUUAUCCUGGUACUGGUAAAACACUUGUAGUUAGAGCUCUGAUUGGUGCAUGUUCACGAGGAGAUAAGCGGAUUGCUUAUUUUGCACGCAAAGGUGCUGAUUGUUUGGGUAAGUAUGUUGGCGAUGCAGAGAGACAACUAAGACUUCUUUUUCAAGUAGCUGAGAGAUCUCAGCCAUCCAUCAUUUUUUUUGAUGAGAUUGAUGGUUUAGCUCCAUGUCGUUCUAGGCAUCAAGAUCAAACGCAUAAUUCAGUUGUUUCUACCUUACUCUCCUUGCUAGAUGGUUUAAAAUCUCGAGGUUCAGUUAUUGUAAUAGGCGCAACUAAUCGUCCUGACUCUGUUGAUCCUGCUCUUAGGAGGCCAGGUAGGUUUGAUCGUGAAAUAUAUUUUCCACUUCCUAAAUUGAAGGAUAGAUCUGCUAUUCUUUCACUUCACACAAAGAAUUGGCCUAACCCUGCAUCUGAACCUCUUCUUUCUUGGAUUGCAAAUCAAACUGCUGGUUAUGCUGGUGCUGAUUUGCAGGCACUAUGCACCCAAGCAGCAAUGAAUGCCUUGAAAAGAAGUUGUGCAUUUCAAGAACUAUUGUCUUCUGCUGAAAAAUGGUCUGGUGAUGGAAAACUUCCUUCCCUUCCUUCAUUUAAGGUCGAGGAAAGGGAUUGGUUGGCAGCUCUUGCAGCUGCUCCUCCUCCAUGUUCACGUAGAGAAGCUGGGAUGGCAGCAAAUUAUGUAGCCUCUUCACCUCUCCACUCUCAUCUUGUUCCAUGUCUUCUGAAACCACUGUCAAAGCUUGUAAUUUCAUUUUAUGUAGAUGAGCGAAUCUGGCUACCUCCUGCAUUACUGAAGGCAUCAGAAUCAAUAAAAAGUAUCAUCAUUUCUGCUCUUGAACUGGCAAGAAUUAACACUAGCUCUUGGUGGUCUCAUCUUGAUUCUUUGAUUAACCAACAAUCUGUUGCGAAUAUGAUUGGGAGAAUGCUUUGUCGUUAUGGCCUGGUAGUUGGUGGAUCAGGAAAUGAUCCAUCUUAUGCACUGGAUGACCAUGAUAAAGAUUGCCAUCUUGUUGAUUCAGAUAUACUUAAACCAUCGGACAUGUUGAGAAAAAAUUCCGUUGAAUUAGGAAAAUCACAUGGAUUUCGAGCUUUGAUUGCUGGACUGCCAAGGUCUGGCCAGCAACAUUUGGCUAGUGCUCUCCUUCAUGGAUUCAAUGGUCAUUUAGAAAUUCAAAAGAUUAAUCUGGCUACUAUGUCACAGGAAGGACAUGGAGAUAUCGUUCGUGGAUUGACUCAAACUCUUUUGAAAUGCAUGAAUGGUGGAAGAUGCAUGAUUUAUAUGCCUAGAAUUGAUCUCUGGGCAAUUGAGACUGCUGAGUCUACUGAAACCUAUCUAGAUACUUGCCAUGUGUCUACUGUUUCAGAGGUCAACGGUGCAGUCAGAGUUGCUUCAGAAGCAUGGAAUCUAUUUAUUGAGCAGGUGGAUUCCUUGACAGCGCCUGCAUCUUUAAUCAUCAUGGCCACGUGUGAAAUGCCUACCCAUGAUCUUCCUCUUGGAAUAAGGAAAUUCUUUACAAAUCAUGUAUCACUUGGUCCUAGUUUGGUUCCCUCACAACAUGCUAUUCCACGUUUUUCAGUUGAUGUAGAUGGAAAUUUCAGCCUUGAACUGUUAGUCAGUUUAUGUACAGCAAAAUUAGUUGAAAAUCUGGUUCAGAAUUAUAUCCAGUUGAUGUAUCAAUAUACUCAUAUGGAUAACUGUCGCAAUUCUUAUAAAACCUUUCAAAUUCCUGAAGUUUCAGAAUCACAAAUGCAAUGCAUAGAUGCAAAAGAAAUAGUUCCUGUAUCUAAUGAACAGAAGGAUACUGAGCAGAUAGCUACUAUUGGCGAGGCUUCCUUGAUGGAUAAUCAAAAGCAGCAAAAUUUAGGAGAUGAUCAGGCACAGCCCCUGCCAUCUACAAUAGUUCAUGGUAUCACUGACAUUAAGCACAAUGGCUGUCAAGACUCGGUUGUAAAAACUGUCAGUAAAAGUGUGAAGGGUGGUUCCAUGUUAGGAAUCACCACAUUUGGCUACCAAAUAUUGCGUUACCCUCAUUUUGCAGAGCUUUGUUGGGUCACCUCAAAAUUGAAAGAAGGUCCUUGUGCUGAUAUAAAUGGUCCUUGGAAGCAUUGGCCAUUCAAUUCUUGUUUGGUGAAUGCAUGCAACAUGCCAGAGAAGCUAGUUUCUGAAGGAGGUAGCAAUAUAAAAGACAGGGAAUUAUCUGGUACGGUCAGAGGACUAAUAGCAGUAGGUUUAUUGGCUUACCAUGGUAUCUACACAUCAGUUAGAGAAGUUUCCUCUGAAGUCAGAAGAGUUUUAGAACUCUUAGUGGAACAGAUUCGUACCAGGAUUUCAGAGGGGAAAGAUGCAUUUCGUUAUUUUCGAAUUCUUUCUCAGGUGGCUUAUUUGGAGGAUAUUGUUAAUUGCUGGGCUUACACUUUUCGUAGGUAAUUUCUCAUUUCCUGUGCAUGCAUUUUGUUUGAUCUUCAAUGCUUGUGCAGUUGUAUGCCUACUUCAUGCACUGCCACCAAUUAUACACAUUCAUUUAAUUAAUUAAUUUUGCUGAUUGUGAAAAUUGUUUCUCAACAAAAAACUGAAGUUAUGACAGCCUCAUCAAUUAAGCAUGAAAACUGUCGCACUGAAUAAACCUCAUACUUUGCACUAGGACAUUAAGUAUUGCCACUAUUACAUAAUGGUGAAGACAUUCUAGGGCAUGUUAAAAUAUAAUUUAAAUCAGAAUUAAAAGUCAUUACAUUGCCUCAGAUAUAUCCAUUGGCUAUUUAUUACAUAUAUCCUAAUUCAUAAAUCUAAAUAAAAGCAAUAGAAGCUUCUAAAGAUAAAACUCUUCUUAGUUACUGGAUUGCUAAAUCAUCAACUAGAAUAGAAGAAACAUAUAAGUAACAUGGUAUCAAUACCAAGUUAGUAGGGUUUCCAUGAGUCAAGGCUGAAGCAGUGAAGGUUUAUGGAAAAAAAGAACAAGAUGAAAUUAUGCAUGAGCAUUAAACAAGGACAAGAAUAUUGAAUGCACACAUAAGGUACGAGUGGCUGAUGUAACUCUCCCACUCUUUUAGAGAGGUGUUCACACUUGCCACAAUUCGACAUGGACUCACCAUAAUCAUCAUAAGGAUGGUUAAUCUUGCCAUUGCUACAUAUGACAACUCUGAUCCCAAUAUGGAUUAAUGUAGGAAUCCAUAAUUUUGAGGGUGUUCUUUAUUUCAAUAAUUACCAUCUUAUAUCCUAAGCAUAAUCUGAAACAAGAAUAAGAGAAUAAAGAUUUCAAGGCAUGAUAAUGAUUAACCAAAAUGUCAUGCGAAUAAAUGGAAAUCAGAUAUGAUUUAAAGAAGAUUUGAAAGAAAAUAAUUCACUGGAAUUGUCAAGAGAAUAAUUGCAAAUAAAUUCACUCUUUAACCAAAAUUAUAAGGCUUGAGAAAAAGAACUAUAGCACAUGCACCAUCUAAGGAGUUGGGAAAAGCCUACCUUGAUCCAUAAUUGGUAUGAAUCCUUCUCCUUCUACCAGUAGAGUUGCUUUAUUUGAAUGAUAUGCACAUCUAGGGAAGCCAAUUAUAUCAGAGAGAAUUAUUAUAAAAUGCAUAGCUUAAAAACCCUAACAUGUAUCUCGAUUGAUUGGAUUUCAUUUACAUAUCUUCCUUAAAAUAUUAAAUCAUCUCUAAUUCAUAAUUUCACUAUUAGGGUGACAUCCUAAGCUCAAUCCAACAUGGAGAAUUUUCGCUAAUAAAUAGGUUAAUAAGCUUGGAAAGGUGAGCUACUAUUUUGGACUUAAACAUUUUGGGUCAAUGAUUAAGUGGAAAAUUGUAUUUAUAUGACUUGUCACAAGUAUUAUCGGAGUAAAUUUGUGUAGGGAAAGAAGAUUGCUCGUGUGAUCAUGUAGCUCUACUAAUUAUAGAUGAUUGUAGGCUAUGAGUUAGAGACCUUGCUAUGGGUGUCAAGCCUCAACUGGAGAUAAUAUGAGACCUUAUUUUAGCUCAUCGAUUUGGAGAACUGCGAACCAAUAGGAUGAUUUUAUAAUCAAAGACAACUUACCAUCGGAGAUUCAAAAAGGACCUCUAAAUAUUAAUACAACUAUUCCAGAUGAUGCAUUGGUGGAUAUUGUGUCAAAUGAAAAACCUAGUCUAAAAAAUGGAUCAAGCAUGCCAAUUGAUCCGACAUGUUGUGAAUCUCAAGCUAUUUUGAUCAAAGAAAAUCCUACAGAACUUGUGAAGGUUGUUCAAUAUGAUAAUCUGAUUAAAGCACCUCAGCUAUUAUCUACUUCUGAAGUUUGUUUCAGAGACAAUCCUUCAUCUAAUUUGCAUCUAAGUUCUCAAUCUGCAAGUGCACCAGUGAGUGAAAGCAGAACAAAUGGAUUGGAGAGACCAUUUUUUAAAAAUCAUGAUGUAGAUCAUUCUAAUGCUUCACAGGGGACAGAAAACAGUUAUCCAUCGCUGUCUAAUGUCUGUGUUUUUGACAGCUCGGGCAAGGAGAUUCCGUCUUGCUCUGAGAGAGUUACGAAUCCUCAGAAUGGUCUAGAAAAGAAUUUACCAACAAGUGGGAUUAUUACUGAACAAUUGGGUAUGUCACCUGACAGAAAUGGCAGCCUUUCAGCUUCGUUGGAUUUUUCAUGCCUGUAUUGUUGUUGUGGCAGUUGUGUGCAAACAUUGUUUGUGUUGGUUCACCGUAUACUCUUUGAUUCCGUGAAUUCAAGUGAUCGUUCGUCAAGGGUUGAUGAUGUCCAUGACAUUCUUGCUUCAUGUUGUUCGAAUAUUUUAGCAACAGUUAGAAGGUGCCAUGAAUCUCCUAGCAGAUCUAUUAAUCAGAGCACGUCCAAAAGGCAACCCUGUGCCUGUCAGAAUGAGAGUGGCAAAAUGCUCAACGAGACAUCGGUCUGUUCUUAUGAGAAAAUUGGAUUUCUACCUGUUGAGUGUGUCCAUUUAAGAAACAGUAGUCAGGCUGGAACAGCAAAUUCUGAUAUGGGUUCACUAGCACAAGAUUUAAAAUUUUUUCUUAAAGAUGGUGUAUUGAUGCCUUCAGACGCCCAGAUGAGCAUCCCACUCCAUUGCAAAUUUGAAAAGUUAUGCCUUUCAUCUGUAGUACAGGCAAUAUUAAUCCAUAAGCAACAGUUGAAGUAAGAAAUUGCAUUUGGUUGCUUGUUGAUUGCAAUCAGUUAUCUUUGUUGGAGUUGCACAAAUUUUUCACCAUGUUGAUCAUGACUCGUGAUUCCCACUGGUUAUUUGUCAUGAAAUAUUUAGUUGUAACUGUUCAGGUGGCCUUUUCUUUGAUACCCAAACAUAUUCAGUAUA